rnacentral:lncRNA from 1 species
CAGAAAUGCCACAAUGUUGAAAGGAAUGCAUUACAGUUCCCACAAACACACACCCCUCCCUGCAACCACUACAAGAUAUGCAAGCAACUCUGAGCUGACUUGGAUCUAAUUCUUCCCAAUUCAUGCCACAAGCCCAACUCAUCAGCUGAUACCUGAGGAUGAUCCACUGCUCACUGAGCGUGGUCAGGGAGCGCCGCUGUCGGACGAGCAUCUUCAUCAAAUGUGCUGAGAACCCUCUGCACCUCUCCACGUUGCCCAUGCCCAUUUCCUGGCAGAAGAAGGAAAAACAUGCUGAAGGGGCUGCUGACAAACAUCACCCACAGAUGUGCCUCUAGAAAGCUGUUUCUACUAUAAGCGUCAGACAUGCCACACUCUAGAGGUGACAUAUUCAUUUUUUUGAGCAGUGUUUCUCCAAUUAUGCUUGCACAGAUCAUUGAGAUUCCAUAGACAGGAACUGGAUUUAACUCCAAAAUGCAUUUAUUAGUGGUCUUUUCUCAAUUCACAAAGGGAAGAAAGAUCUAAAGAUGGCAUUCUCAAUUUGAAGUUUUUAAUUUUUCUUAAACAUUAAGAAAAUCUGUCCUGCUGGCAAGUGUAACUGAAUUUAUUUAAGGUGUUCUGAUUUUGCACAAAAUUACAUUGAUUUAUAUUUUAAGUUUAAGGAUGUACUGCAAAAAGCUCAGUUCCACUAACAGGCUGUUAUCACUUAACAAGGUCUGAGAAUACAGCCCUGGGAUGAACAGAACAAGGGCUUUCCCUGAGCCCCUGCAAGACUCAUGUUCUAUCAUUCUACCUUGGCAGGAGUUGCUAGUGCUGCGUUAAGCCUGGCAUGCCGUGCAAGAGAGCGAUAAAAAUACUUCUGGCAUCCAUCCCAUGAAGACGAGAUUUCUGUAAGCAGCCUGGAAAAGAUAUCAACAUUGUUUACUUAAUUAAAACCACGCUCUCCCACCCCAGAUCCUGAAAACUCAGAUAUUGGUAUAUUUGGCCAUAACCAAGAGUCAGCUGUCUGAAUAGGUUUAUUUCUAUGAGGAAUCAUUCAGUGAGGCACUCAUUAGUCCUUUACUUAACUCAGCACUGGAAGUAUCAGGGGAAAUAAAUUAUGCUGACAACAUGGUUUCUUCAAUGAAAUCUUCCUAUCUUGGCAGUGGAGGCUAGGGGGUCAUAAACUCUGAUGCCUACAGGGGCCAGGCAAAUAACAUAAGAGGACUAAGGACAGCCAAGCAUACAAUGAUGCAUGGCAGUGACAGCUGACCUCAACGUGGGGAAGACACAGGGGUUGUUGAGGGCUCAAGUAAGCUGGAGAGCAUGUGUCCUAUCAAAAGGAGGAAACUACUAUUCAGCUACAGUGCUGCUGACUGAAUGGGAAUGCAAGCCCACUUCGUGAAUUUUCCUGAAAAAGAAUGCUUAUGUAAAAUUUCCCCUUUCUACAAUGUUCUGUUGAAUUCAAAUUUAAAGCCCUGGGAGCAAAUAAAACACACAUGUGUACUAUACCCAGUUCAUGCAAAGCAUCAUUCACAACAUCCUCUGCUGUGUUGUAAACAGAGGUAGCUCUGCCUGUCUCAAUAGUGUAUGGACUCGCAAAUUCAAUAACAUAUUAGAACUUAUGAGGAGUGUAUGUAUAUAGAGCAACUAAAAAUAUACCAUUUUCUAAUAGGUUUCCACAUGUAUGAUCAAAUGAAGCAAGUAGACCUCAGGAAAAUCAAAAGGCAAAAAAAAAAAAAAAAAAGGGAAGAAGAAGAAGAAUGGAGAGGUGAAUGCAAG